UCAUAUCAAUAAGCGGAGGAAAAGAAACCAACAGGGAUUGCCUCAGUAACGGCGAGUGAAGCGGCAACAGCUCAAAUUUGAAACCUGCCAACCGGCCGGAUUGUAAUUUGCAGAGGAUGCUUUGGGAAAGGUACUGAUCUAAGUUUCUUGGAACAGAACGUCACAGAGGGUGAGAAUCCCGUCCGUGGUCGGCCGCCUGCCCCGUGUAAAGCUCCUUCGACGAGUCGAGUUGUUUGGGAAUGCAGCUCUAAAUGGGUGGUAAAUUUCAUCUAAAGCUAAAUAUUGGCCAGAGACCGAUAGCGCACAAGUAGAGUGAUCGAAAGAUGAAAAGCACUUUGGAAAGAGAGUUAAACAGCACGUGAAAUUGUUGAAAGGGAAGCGCUUGCAAUCAGACUUGGGCGCGGGUACUCAGGGACGGUUCGCCGUUCUGUAUUUGCCCGCGCACAGGCCAGCAUCAGUUUUGGGGGUGGGAUAAAGGCCGUAGGAAUGUGGCUCUUCGGAGUGUUAUAGCCUACGGUGCCAUGCCACCUCCCGGGACUGAGGACCGCGCUUCGGCUAGGAUGCUGGCGUAAUGAUUGUAAGCGACCCGUCUUGAAACACGGACCAAGGAGUCUAACAUCUAUGCGAGUGUUUGGGUGUCAAACCCACACGCGGAAUGAAAGUGAACGGAGGUGAGAGCCCUUGAGGGUGCAUCAUCGACCGAUCCUGAUGUCUUCGGAUGGAUUUGAGUAUGAGCAUAGCUGUUGGGACCCGAAAGAUGGUGAACUAUGCCUGAAUAGGGUGAAGCCAGAGGAAACUCUGGUGGAGGCUCGCAGCGGUUCUGACGUGCAAAUCGAUCGUCAAAUUUGGGUAUAGGGGCGAAAGACUAAUCGAACCAUCUAGUAGCUGGUUCCUGCC
rnacentral:rRNA from 1 species